ensembl:lncRNA
AUCAGAUUAAAGACUGAAACAGAAAGUACUUUUUACUGCUGAUGGUGUUUAUUAAAUGUGUUCACUGUACUCUGGAAUUGUGACCUUGUACAUUUAUUUAUUUCACAGACUUUAUCUUCAUUAUUGACAGACAGGCUGAAAGACACCUCUCCACAUGUUAGCAGAGAAGGUAGUUACAUAAAAAACAAACAAAGAAACUGUCAUACAUCUGUCACUUUGUUUUAUGUCUUGUAGUCCCACCUAUGGAAUGAGCAGAUAAGAAAGGAAUGUGGUUGCUAAGGAGUUGUUGCUAUGGACACUGCUGUCAUACAGGUGCAGGGUGUGGGCUGUAGAAAACAGGAUGACAUGGAAAUACAGGUUAGUUUGGUUUGUGACUGUGCGGUACAAACACACACAGAUUACACGCAGAUUUUACUUUUUAUUUUUCUCCUUAUUUUUGUAACUUUUACUGGUUUUUCAUCAAAUUUAUCCUGGUAGCCUUUGAUUUACAGGAAAGCAGACAGGUAUACCAAAGCUACACUUUCUAGAUUUUAGUGGAUUUUAUUUUUUUGUUUUUUUAUCAUGAUGGUCAGACGUCUCUUUGAGGAUUUUGGAGAUCUCUUCAGAACAACAGUAACAGUAAGUGCUGACACCUUUCAGUUUUUUAGCUCAACAAACUGACACUGUACAGGAAGUGCUGCAGCACACACACACAAACGUCCUGCAGACUAUUUGCUGCUGCUCGUCUUUUCCAUGUUUUCUCUGUUUCUGCUGCUUCUUUGUCCUCACUGUAAACAGAUGUACUGAGAGACUCCUGCACUGAUGUUUCAUAGGAAAGUCCAAACAGCCUCACUGGUUCUCCAUAAAGAACAAAGAUUUGCUCUCUGUGGCUCCAACACAACUUAAAGACAAUCAAAGCUCCUCACUCCACCAGGGCGCUGUUUGGCACUUUCUGAUACUGUACUGCGGCAGUCAUACAGACAACUGGACGGUCCAAAAGUUGGCCUACCUAUUACUGGCUGAGGUUUUAGUAGAGUUGUGGUAACGCAACCAACUGAUCAGUUGGUUGCGUUACCAGAAAAAUAGAUCAUUAAUUUUAAUCUCCCCAAUCAAUGAUAAUGUUAUGUUGGAAUGUUGUUAAAGAGGGUCAAAAAUGUUUCAACCCAGUUUGUUUUGCAG